UUCCGGUUGAUCCUGCCGGAGGCUACUGCUAUCGGGGUUCGAUUAAGCCAUGCGAGUUAAAUGUUCUUCGUGAACAUAGCGAACUGCUCAGUAACACGUGGAUAACCUACCCUUGGGACCGGAAUAACCCCGGGAAACUGGGGAUAAUACCGGAUAAGCCAUAGACGCUGGAAUGCCCUAUGGUUCAAAGCUCCGGCGCCUAAGGAUGGAUCUGCGGUCUAUCAGGUUGUAGUGGGUGUAACGUACCUACUAGCCGACGACGGAUAUGGGUUGUGAGAGCAAGAGCCCGGAGAUGGAUUCUGAGACACGAAUCCAGGCCCUACGGGGUGCAGCAGGCGCGAACACUUUACAAUGCGGGAAACCGCGAUAAGGGAACCCCGAGUGCCAGCAUCAAAUGUUGGCUGUCCAGAUGAUUAAAAAUCAUUUGUUAGCAAGGGCCGGGCAAGACCGGUGCCAGCCGCCGCGGUAACACCGGCGGCCCGAGUGGUAGCCGUUUUUAUUGGGUCUAAAGGGUCCGUAGCCGGCCUGAUAAGUCCUUUGGGAAAUCUGGCAGCUUAACUGUCAGGCUUCUAAGGGAUACUGUCAGGCUUGGGACCGGAAGAGGUAAGGGGUACUCCAGGGGUAGGAGUGAAAUCUUGUAAUCCCUGGGGGACCAUCUGUGGCGAAGGCGCCUUACCAGAACGGGUCCGACGGUGAGGGACGAAAGCUAGGGGAGCAAACCGGAUUAGAUACCCGGGUAGUCCUAGCUGUAAACGAUGCUCGCUAGGUGUCAGACACGGUGCGACCGUGUUUGGUGCCGCAGGGAAGCCGUUAAGCGAGCCACCUGGGAAGUACGGUCGCAAGGCUGAAACUUAAAGGAAUUGGCGGGGGAGCACUACAACGGGUGGAGCCUGCGGUUUAAUUGGAUUCAACGCCGGG
rnacentral:rRNA from 1 species